rnacentral:rRNA from 1 species
GGGUGUAGCGUACCUACUAGCCUACGACGGGUACGGGUUGUGAGAGCAAGAGCCCGGAGAUGGAUUCUGAGACACGAAUCCAGGCCCUACGGGGUGCAGCAGGCGCGAAAACUUUACAAUGCUGGAAACAGCGAUAAGGGGACCUCGAGUGCCAGGUUACAAAUCUGGCUGUCGUGAUGCCUAAAAAGCAUUGCAUAGCUAGGGCCGGGCAAGACCGGUGCCAGCCGCCGCGGUAACACCGGCGGCUCGAGUGGUAACCGUUAUUAUUGGGUCUAAAGGGUCUGUAGCCGGCCGGAUAAGUCUCUUGGGAAAUCCAGCAGCUCAACUGUUGGGCUUUCAGGAGAUACUGUCUGGCUCGAGGCCGGGAGAGGUGAGAGGUACUUCAGGGGUAGGGGUGAAAUCUUGUAAUCCUUGAAGGACCACCAGUGGCGAAGGCGUCUCACCAGAACGGACCUGACGGCAAGGGACGAAAGCUAGGGGCACGAACCGGAUUAGAUACCCGGGUAGUCCUAGCCGUAAACGAUACUCGCUAGGUGUCGGCCACGGUGCGACCGUUGUCGGUGCCGUAGGGAAGCCGUGAAGCGAGCCACCUGGGAAGUACGGCCGCAAGGCUGAAACUUAAAGGAAUUGGCGGGGAGCACCACAACGGGUGGAGCUUGCGGUUUAAUUGGAUUCAACGCCGGAAAUCUUACCGGGACCGACAGCAAUAUGAAGGCCAGGCUGAAGACUUUGCCGGAUUAGCUGAGAGGUGGUGCAUGGCCGUCGUCAGUUCGUACUGUGAAGCAUCCUGUUAAGUCAGGCAACGAGCGAGACCCACGCCCACAGUUGCCAGCGUACUCUCCGGAGUGAUGGGUACACUGUGGGGACCGCCGCUGCUAAAGCGGAGGAAGGAAUGGGCAACGGUAGGUCAGUAUGCCCCGAAUAUCCCGGGCUACACGCGAGCUACAAUGGUUGGUACAAUGGGUAUCUACCCCGAAAGGGGAUGGAAAUCUCCUAAAGCCAAUCUUAGUUCGGAUUGAGGGCUGCAACUCGCCCUCAUGAAGCUGGAAUCCGUAGUAAUCGCGUUUCAACAGAACGCGGUGAAUACGUCCCUGCUCCUUGCACACACCGCCCGUCAAACCACCCGAGUAGGGUCUGAAUGAGAGCGCUUCCUUCGGAGGCGUUCGAAUUUGGGCUUUGCAAGGGGGGUUAAGUCGUAACAAGGUA